AAAUUAGGGAUGAUUGCCUUGAAGGCAGGAAGGAGUGGUGGGAGGAAGGCCCAGGAUCAAACCUGCACUUGCACAGAGAGGGGCAGAAGACUGGAAUGAGGGAUGUUGUGACACCAUCACUGCUCUGAAACAUUCGUGGUGUUACUGUUGUACACAUACAGAGUCAGGGCACAGCUCAAGUGCCAUAACAAACCCUCUUAGUGACAUUACACAGGUAUGGCUGUGCACAUGGAAGGAGACAGGAUGAGUCCCUUGCCACUUCUCUGAUCCAUACAAUGAACGCCACUUCCCAGGAGAGAUGACAUGCCAGUAUGCUUCUCAUUCUUGCUUGGAAUGACUCACUGCUCAUAUCUAGUCAUUUCUAGAAAUAUUCAUGGUUGAGUUGGGCAUUAUGCAGGUGCUGACAACACUACUCAGAACACAGAGCUGCCACCAGUUUAAAACAGUCUAAUGUUCUUCAAAAAUUGUUCAAGGAAGGACUGUGACCAUGGGAAACCCAGCACUUGCAAAGCUUUGCAGGAGCACCAGAGGACAAGGACUGAAAUACUAUGAUUUCCCAAACAGAAAGCAACUCAAGGAGUACUCGGGGGAGUUUUGUGCAUAUUUGCAACAACGCAGUGUGGGUCAUAUCCAAGUUGAGCUCUCCAAGUAAGGCAGCUUGGGGGUAAUGCAGCUCCAACUGCUGAGCUGGACCUGUAUCCAUGGAUGUCUUCUUCCAUAACCUAGAGAUGGUGGUGACUGUGGAGCAAGAGCCAAAACAAACACUCUUGCAAGUUGGCGGGAUGUAUUUUGAGCCAGAGCUAAAAUAGGAUUUAGGCAUGCUAAGCCUUAAAAUAGUGAUCCAAACCAACCCUCAUCCCCUGCGCUGGUUAGGUGUCAGUUCUCGCUUGAGAUAAGGAACUUACAUGAACUUUAUCUGCAUUGAACUGAAGAGGAGCUGAGGUCAAGUCCACCACUUUUUAGUAGAUGUCUCCUUGUGGAGGUACUCAUUCCAGGUCUUUUCACCAGCAUCAGAUAAAGGCAUGGUGAAGUGCAUCUAUCAUGGUGCUUCUGAUGUGGCUGAGCAGGAGGAGAAAAGCUGAAUGCACAUUUCAUUGCAGAAAAGAUCAACCCAAAAAAGAUUAGCAUAGGCAGAAGAAGUCUGUCCCUGUGAGUGUGACAGUCAUAUACUGUUGCUGGGUAACAGAUGGAUAACUUUAACUCAUCCUGUUCUCUUAUUCUUGCUUAUUUUUAACUCUUCUCAAAGAAGGGUCUUUCUCACUUAGCCUAUUCCUUUACCCAGAAAACUGUAAACUCCUGGAAAUAUCUGUACUCUGGUUCAGCAAGUAAGCAAUCCUCUGACUAUGUUUUAUCCUAUCAUAUGCUUUCUACAUUUAAGGAAAGUGAUCUUCCGAUUAUGAUCAGAUUGGACAUCAACUGGAGAAUCGCAUAAGAGUCAAAUAUAAAUUGCCCCAGGAGCAGCUUUUGUCUUAGUGAAGCACCAGAAGACUUUCAGGACAGAGGGGACUCUCCAUCACUAUGGAAUGUGAGCCUAAUGUUAUACAUAACAUCGCUGUAUCAUUUCUGACAUGGAUAUCCCUUCAUUGCAGCAGUGGUUCCCAGGCCUUGAACAAAUAACUCCUAUGGGCUAUGUGCUUUUCUGUCUUAUCAAAAUUGAUUUAGCUGCACAGAAAUAACUUUUAAAUUCCGAUAGCUGUGUGACAUAUUCUCAUUGGUGAAGCAGUAGAAUCUUAAAGCUGACGCUUUUGUAGACUUGGCCAUUUGUAGACUUCUUGGCUGGUCUCUUGCAAUCACAGAUCUUGGCACCUUUUCUCAAGCACUCAGCUUUCCCAUUUUAUAAAUCAUGGGGGUCCAACACCCCAUCAAGCUAUUGCCACUCAAAAAGUUAUUCCAGUCCUCCUGAGUCAUUGAGACUGUGAAGGUGAACUUUCUUCUUCCACUCCUUUCUCUAACAGGUUUUCUUUACUCUUGCCACAAGUUCAGAGUUGAACUAGUUGAAUCCCUGCACAGCUGACACUGAAUUGUCAGAACAGAAUCAUGCUCCUAAGACCUAAAUGCACUGAUUUAUUGAGUGUGAUGUCUUACCGGUGGCUUCUUGUUUUGCCUAUGAAACAGGGUGUAACCAGCCACAUAAAAAUGAUAAACUGCUGUUUGUCCUUACAAUAAUUUUGAUCUUGAGAAUAAAUUAUAUCAGCGUGUUUGAAUGAGGCAAUGCUAUUUAUAGCCUUUGUAACGGCAUAACUUCUACAUGUAAGUGAAAUAAAUUUCUUUACAAGAAAAGUAA